rnacentral:tRNA from 1 species
UCCCUGGUGGCCUAGUGGUUAAGGACUCAGCAUUGUCACUGCUGUGGCUUGGGUUCAAUCCCUGGCCUGGGAA